ensembl:snoRNA
GUUCCCUUCUACGCUUUGCCCACUGGAGGCUGUCUGUGUCUCUAGUGGCCAUAACAGGGGGGUAUAUUGAGCUGCUCUUGUUAAAACCCAGGCCAGAGGUCAUUCUCUGAGUCUGGAUCCUGUCACAAGGCACAUGU